UAUAUAUAUUGAAGUUGGCGAUGUCUUCCAACACUUUUUCUCACCAUUAGCUUCAUGGUCUCUAUGCUCAAAUUUUAUUGAGCAUCCAAUUUUCCUCAAUGAAUAUAAAGUUGUGUAAUCAUUACUCCAUACGAUAUUGGCCUUUAUCCGCACACUUGUGAAAUUAGUGGUCAAUCUUUGUAUAUAUUCACAUACCUCCAUGUGAGCAUGUUCAAUUAUUUACAUAUAGUUACCUUCCAUACAUAAAAUUAAAUUUUAUCCUUUCAAAUAAGACUUCACAAUAGUUUUGCAUAGUGAAUAACAAGUGUUGUUCA
rnacentral:lncRNA from 1 species